rnacentral:rRNA from 1 species
UAAAGCCGCGAAUGGCUCAUUACAACAGCCACAAUUUACUAGGUCUCCUUUUACUUGGAUAACUGAGCUAAUUGUUGAGCUAAUACAUGCACCAAAGCUUCGACCUUACGGAAGGAGCGCAUUUAUUAGACUAAAGCCAAUCGGACCUUCGGGUCCGUCCAUUGGUGAUUCUAAAUAACUCUGCCGAUCGCAUGGUCUCGCACCGGCGACGCACCUUUCAAAUGUCUGUCUCAUCACCUUUCGAUGGUAGUUUAAGUGCCUACCAUGGGUUUUACGGGUAACGGAGAAUCAGGGUUCGACUCCGGAGAGGGAGCCUGAGAAACGGCUACCACAUCCAAGGAAGGCAGCAGGCACGCAAAUUACCCACUCCCGGCACGGGGAGGUAGUGACGAAGAAUAACGAGGCGGUUCUCUUUGAGGCCCGCCAUCGGAAUGGGUACAAUCUAAA